CACGCCACCUUUUUAGGAGCCUAGUGGUGUCACCCUUGCCACUCUACUAAGGCUCUUUUUGUGAUGCAAUUUACCCAUAACUCUAUACAAGGGCCACCUAGCCAGAACCCCUAACUCCUAAGUCCAAAAUUCAAAAAUUCAACUGGGUUUUGGCCAACACAUGGGCCUUCUAUAAGCCCAUUUACCUACUCAAAAUAUUAAUUUCACAUCCAAAUACAAAAUUUUUAAAAUCUUUACAAAAUAUUGAAAACCAUGAAUAAAUCCGAAAAUCAGGAUGUUACAGUAUCCCAG
rnacentral:lncRNA from 1 species